AGCAUCAUGGCGCAGAUGGAAGCGCGCGGGGCCCAUAUCUAUCACGUGAUUUACGUAAGCUCUGGUACCCCGAGGUCACUGGAUCGAAACCAGUUGAUGCUA